AUUCCAGCUCCAAUAGCGUAUACUAAAGUUGUUGCAGUUAAUUAGCUCGUUGUUGAUUUUUUUUUCUCUUCCCUCUUUCUUCCUCCCCCUCUUUCCGCCCCCCCUGUUCCGGUCCAUCCUCGGAGAAAACAUGCCUGUGAUUCAGUUCAUGGGUAUGGGAUCUUCGUCAUUUACUGUGAGCAAAAUAUAGUGUUCAAAGCAGGCUUAUGCCGUUGAAUACAUUAGCAUGGAAUAAUAAAAUAAGACCUUGGUCUAUUUUGUUGGUUUGUACUCCAAGGUAAUGAUUAAUAGGGAUAGUUGGGGGUAUUCGUAUUCAAUUGUCAGAGGUGAAAUUCUUGGAUUUAUGGAAGACGAACUACUGCGAAAGCAUUUACCAAGGAUGUUUUCAUUG
rnacentral:rRNA from 1 species